GUUUGAUCCUGGCUCAGAUUGAACGCUGGCGGCAGGCCUAACACAUGCAAGUCGAGCGGUAGAGAGAAGCUUGCUUCUCUUGAGAGCGGCGGACGGGUGAGUAAUGCCUAGGAAUCUGCCUGGUAGUGGGGGAUAACGUUCGGAAACGGACGCUAAUACCGCAUACGUCCUACGGGAGAAAGCAGGGGACCUUCGGGCCUUGCGCUAUCAGAUGAGCCUAGGUCGGAUUAGCUAGUUGGUGAGGUAAUGGCUCACCAAGGCGACGAUCCGUAACUGGUCUGAGAGGAUGAUCAGUCACACUGGAACUGAGACACGGUCCAGACUCCUACGGGAGGCAGCAGUGGGGAAUAUUGGACAAUGGGCGAAAGCCUGAUCCAGCCAUGCCGCGUGUGUGAAGAAGGUCUUCGGAUUGUAAAGCACUUUAAGUUGGGAGGAAGGGUUGUAGAUUAAUACUCUGCAAUUUUGACGUUACCGACAGAAUAAGCACCGGCUAACUCUGUGCCAGCAGCCGCGGUAAUACAGAGGGUGCAAGCGUUAAUCGGAAUUACUGGGCGUAAAGCGCGCGUAGGUGGUUUGUUAAGUUGGAUGUGAAAUCCCCGGGCUCAACCUGGGAACUGCAUUCAAAACUGACUGACUAGAGUAUGGUAGAGGGUGGUGGAAUUUCCUGUGUAGCGGUGAACUGCGAAGAUAUAGGGAGGGAACACCGGUGGCGAGAGCGACCACGUGGACUAAUACUCACGGUGAUGUGCGAAAGUGUGGUCAGCAAACUUGAUCACAUACGCUGGGAGUCCACGCCGAGAGAGGAUGUCUUCUAGACGGUGGAUCCCUUGAGCUUUUACUGCUGCAGCUCACUACAUAAGUUAACCGACUGCCGACUACGUCGGCAAGCUAGUACUCAUCUGGAGUGACUGGCGAGCGCACGGCGUGUAUCUAUCUUUUAUUUAAUCAACGCGACGAGCGUUACCGGACUUGACUCGAAAUGCCGCACGUACUAAUAUAAGCCGUGCGCGACAGGAACAAUGAGCAGAUGCUGUACUGGCGUCGCAUAGCUAAGUAGGAAAUUAAGCUCACUCGUUAACAGAGUAGCGUUACUAAAUACAACCUUACCAGACGCAGUAAGAGUAGUAUAUCCUCGGUCUUUCACAUCAUGCGAU
rnacentral:rRNA from 1 species